AGUCGUAUGGUCUAAUGGUUAUGAUUUCUCGUUCACAUGCUUAUGUGUACUUUAAACCCGAGAAGGUUCCGUGUUCGAUCCACGGUACGACUA
rnacentral:tRNA from 1 species